GUGCAGUGCAAUGUGUUGUUUUACAGGGUCAGUCAUAGUAGUAUGAUAGGUGCAGUGUAAUGUGUUGUUUUACAGGCUCAGCCAUAGUAGUAUGAUAGGUGCAGUGAAAUGUGUUGUUUUACAGGGUCAGUCAUAGUAGUAUGAUAGGUGCAGUGAAAUGUGUUGUUUUACAGGGUCAGUCAUAGUAGUAUGAUAGGUGCAGUGUAAUGUGUUGUUUUACAGUCUCAGUCAUAGUAGUAUGAUAGGUGCAGUGAAAUGUGUUGUUUUACAGGGUCAGCCAUAGUAGUAUGAUAGGUGCAGUGAAAUGUGUUGUUUUACAGGGUCAGUCAUAGUAGUAUGAUAGGUGCAGUGAAAUGUGUUGUUUUACAGGGUCAGUCAUAGUAGUAUGAUAGGUGAAGUGAAAUGUGUUGUUUUACAGGGUCAGUCAUAGUAGUAUGAUAGGUGCAGUGUAAUGUGUUGUUUUACAGUCUCAGUCAUAGUAGUAUGAUAGGUGCAGUGAAAUGUGUUGUUUUACAGGGUCAGUCAUAGUAGUAUGAUAGGUGCAGUGUAAUGUGUUGUUUUACAGGGUCAGCCAUAGUAGUAUGAUAGGUGCAGUGUAAUGUGUUGUUUUACAGGGUCAGUCAUAGUAGUAUGAUAGGUGCAGUGUAAUGUGUUGUUUUACAGGGUCAGCCAUAGUAGUAUGAUAGGUGCAGUGUAAUGUGUUCUUUUACAGGGUCAGCCAUAGUAGUACGAUAGGUGCAGUGUAAUGUGUUGUUUUACAGGGUCAGCCAUAGUAGUACGAUAGGUGCAGUGUAAUGUGUUGUUUUACAGGGUCAGCCAUAGUAGUACGAUAGGUGUAGUGUAAUGUGUUCUUUUACAGGGUCAGCCAUAGUAGUACGAUAGGUGCAGUGUAAUGUGUUGUUUUACAGGGUCAGCCAUAGUAGUAC
rnacentral:lncRNA from 1 species